UUGUAUGCAGAGAAGACAGACGAGGAUGGAGUGGCUCACAGUAAAAGGGACAGAGUGAAGAAAAAAGUCUCGGAUUACAUUUUUUUGAGCAUUCUGAGAAGCUUAAGAUUUCAGACAAAGAGAAAUGACUAGAGCAAAACUAUUUAAAUCAAUUCUGGCUGUGUGCACUUGCGGUGGUGAGGGGGUAUGGAUGACAUGUUGGAUGGACGCAGGAGGACACUGAGGAGGAGACAGUGCUACUGGUGAAGUCCUCACCAUUCCUUGGGUAAUGAGCCAGCUGUCUAUGGGCUCCAACUCUGCGUUAUCACCCUUUACACUCAACUGAAUCAACAACAGAAAACAUCUUACAGAUGUGAAACAGAAAGCCAACCCCCCCCCCCACCCCCCA